GGGGGAAAAAUUAAAUAUUUAUAAUUAAUAAAAGUAUUUUUAAUAUUAAAAUGGGGGUUUUAGUAUUAAUAAAGAAAAAAUUAUAAAAUUUAUAGGGUAAUAGUAUUGUAAAAUAAAUUUGAAAUAAUUGAUAUAUAAAUUUAAUAAAAAGUAAAUUUUAAUUAUUGUAUCUUGUGUAUCAGAGUUUAUUAAUUAAUAUUUUAGAUUAAAAUUAAUCUCGAAUUUAAAAGAGAUAAUUAAUUAUGAAAGUUAUUGUUGUAUAAAUAUUUUUAAUAAUUAAUUUGAAAUGAAAUGUUAAUCGUUUUUAAAGAUAUCUAGUUUUUUUAGAAAAAAAUUUAAUUUUAUUUAUUUUUUAUAAAGAGUUAAUUAAUUAACUCUUUAUAAAAAAUAAAUAUAUAUUUUAAGGGAUAAUCUUUAAAUUAAAUUUUUAUAAUUUAUUAAUUUUUAAUUUAUUUUAAAAUUUUUAAAAUUUAUAUUGUUUAUAAUUUUUAAUUUUUUUUAUAAAUAAUUUUAAUUAAAUUAAAAUUUUAAAAAAAAUUUAAAUAUUUAUAAAAAAAUAUUUUUUAAUUAAAUAAAAUUAGUUAUACUGAUAAAAUUAGUAUUUAUAAUUUAAAAAAAAAUAUUUAUUAUAUAAAAAUUAAUAUUAAUGAAUUCGGCAAAAUUAUAUAUUCACUUGUUUAUCAAAAACAUGUCUUUUUGGAAAUAAUUUAAAGUCUAAUCUGCCCACUGAUAAUUUAUUAAAGGGCUGCAGUAUAUUGACUGUACAAAGGUAGCAUAAUCAAUAGUCUCUUAAUUGGUGACUUGUAUGAAAGAUUGAAUGAAAUAUAAACUGUCUCAAUAUUAUUAUAAAUAAAUUAAUUUUUUAGUUAAAAAGCUAAAAUGAAUUUAAAAGACGAGAAGACCCUAUAGAGUUUAAUAUUAUAUUUAUUAAAAUUAUUUAUAAAAAAAAAUUAUUUAAUAAUUAAAAUAAAUUAAUAAUAUUUUAUUGGGGUGAUAAAAAAAUAAAAAAAACUUUUUUUAUAUAUAAAACAUAAAUAAGUGAAUAAUUGAUCCAAAAUUAUUUUGAUUAUAAGAAAAAAUUACCUUAGGGAUAACAGCGUAAUUUUUUUUUUUAGUACAAAUAAAAAAAAAAGUUUGCGACCUCGAUGUUGGAUUAAGAUAAAAUUUAUAUGCAAAAGUUUAAAAUUUUGAUCUGUUCGAUCAUUAAAAUCUUACAUGAUCUGAGUUCAAACCGGUGUAAGCCAGGUUGGUUUCUAUCUUUAAAUAUUAAAAAUAUUUUAGUACGAAAGGAAUAAAUAUUUAAAUUAAAUUUAAUUAAAAAGAAUUUUAAUAAAAUUAUUAUAAAGUUAAAAAUUUA
rnacentral:rRNA from 1 species